rnacentral:lncRNA from 1 species
GAAGCCCCUCCAGAAAAAACAUCCUCGGAGCACAGAGGUUUCCCUUCUGCCAGCACACAAAUGAACCCCAAACAGAGCCCGCUUCAAAGCCGCCGCCUAAUGAGCCGCUCCCCACCCCGGUGCGACGAGGGCCCUAACGAAGCCUCGGCAGGACAAAGGCGCCAGCUUUGCUUUUUGAGCUUGCUCAGCGGAAUAAAAAAAAAAAAGAGAGAGGUAGAUGAGGGGGCAGGGAGCGGGGAUGCCGGCACAGGAGGGGCUGAUCCUUUUCCUCGGUGCCCCCUGGCACGUCUCCUCCCCUGGGGCCCACGUCCCGAGCCAACCUGAGCACCCCGAAGCCCCCCCCGAGCAUCCCGUGGAGAUUGGGGUUUGUGGGACCGGCCCCGGUGUGCUGGGGGCUGCCAAUACCGUCUGUAAUCCCCCUUCUGCAUCAGCCAGCUGAAGCCUCCUGGCCCCAAAAGCCUGCGGCAGGUGUAGGAACCAGCUAAGGGAAAACAAGGACGGCGGCAAAUGCUGGCUGCAGAGCCCCGAUGAAGAUCCUAGACAGGGAACAGGCUCACAGGUUUUUCCUCCCGAAGUAUUUUAGGAGGGAAAGCAUCCAGAAAUGUUCAUUCUGCAAAAGUUUUCUUUUGAUGAUGCAUUUUUCUUUUUUUUUUUUUGGAUGGCAGAAAAUGUUUCUUCCCAUGUUUUUUCUGGUUUUGCUCGCAAAAAAAUGUUGUUUUCCUACUUUCUUUUAUUCACAGCGUUAUUUUUGUCUGGCUGAGGAAGCAUUUUCUGCCACAGAAAUGUGAAACAAACCUAAAAAUAAUGCAACUCUUGGCUGCGCUCUGCAGUUCCUGGCGCCACGUGGAAAUUUUCCCGUCCAGCGAGCAGCGAGGGAAUUUCCCCCGGGACCAGAUCCCCCUGGCGCACCCAGAACUGCCACCGCUGGCUCGGUCGAAGGGGAUCCCUGUGCCUGAGGAUUUGCAGUCUCCAUCGGCUCCUGCUUGGGCACAGCCCUGCAGCCACCUCCUCUGCACCACCACAAAGACUUGCAGAACCCAAACCCUUGCCUUCUGCCUCCAAAACGCACUGCAUCCCGCGGUGCAGAGGCAGGCUGGAGGCGGAGAGAGGUGAGGAUGGUGGGGAGGAAGAACUGCAA